GUUUCUUGGAUGGCCCAAUUCUCUGGUGACUUUGAGAGUUCAGCCCAGAGUCCAUUUCUUCCCAAUGACUCAAGGAACUAUCUGUGUGUCUUGAGAAAUUCCUGGUUUAAACCAGCUAGAGUGGACUCUGUUGUCUGUAACCAAGAACAGUGAGAGACACAACAGUGCCUUAGUUGUGGCCGAUACAAGACCACAAACAUCUUGGAUCAGGCACUCUUUAGGCAUCACUUCGGACCCUUUCAGCCACGCCUGACUUUAAUUCACACGUGGUGACCAGCCCUGCCUCUGACUAGCUGCAUGCAGAGGCAAACCUCGUGCCUCACAUCCUAAGGACUCUGUCUUCGCUGCAGCGUGGGACCCUGCAGGCACCGCCUGGCAUCCUGAGACAGGCUCUCACUUUGUUGCCCAGGCUGGUUUUGAAC